AAAUUGAAGAGUUUGAUCAUGGCUCAGAUUGAACGCUGGCGGCAGGCUUAACACAUGCAAGUCGAACGGUAACAGGAAGCAGCUUGCUGCUUUGCUGACGAGUGGCGGACGGGUGAGUAAUGUCUGGGAAACUGCCUGAUGGAGGGGGAUAACUACUGGAAACGGUGGCUAAUACCGCAUAACGUCGCAAGACCAAAGAGGGGGACCUUCGGGCCUCUUGCCAUCAGAUGUGCCCAGAUGGGAUUAGCUAGUUGGUGAGGUAACGGCUCACCAAGGCGACGAUCCCUAGCUGGUCUGAGAGGAUGACCAGCCACACUGGAACUGAGACACGGUCCAGACUCCUACGGGAGGCAGCAGUGGGGAAUAUUGCACAAUGGGCGCAAGCCUGAUGCAGCCAUGCCGCGUGUAUGAAGAAGGCCUUCGGGUUGUAAAGUACUUUCAGCGGGGAGGAAGGUGUUG
rnacentral:rRNA from 1 species